CCUACGGGAGGCAGCAGUGGGGAAUAUUGCGCAAUGGGGGAAACCCUGACGCAGCAACGCCGCGUGAUUGAAGAAGGCCUUCGGGUUGUAAAGAUCUUUAAUCAGGGACGAAACAAAUGACGGUACCUGAAGAAUAAGCUCCGGCUAACUACGUGCCAGC
rnacentral:rRNA from 1 species